rnacentral:rRNA from 1 species
UUGCUUCUCUUGAGAGCGGCGGACGGGUGAGUAAUGCCUAGGAAUCUGCCUGGUAGUGGGGGAUAACGUUCGGAAACGGACGCUAAUACCGCAUACGUCCUACGGGAGAAAGCAGGGGACCUUCGGGCCUUGCGCUAUCAGAUGAGCCUAGGUCGGAUUAGCUAGUUGGUGGGGUAAUGGCUCACCAAGGCUACGAUCCGUAACUGGUCUGAGAGGAUGAUCAGUCACACUGGAACUGAGACACGGUCCAGACUCCUACGGGAGGCAGCAGUGGGGAAUAUUGGACAAUGGGCGAAAGCCUGAUCCAGCCAUGCCGCGUGUGUGAAGAAGGUCUUCGGAUUGUAAAGCACUUUAAGUUGGGAGGAAGGGUUGUAGAUUAAUACUCUGCAAUUUUGACGUUACCGACAGAAUAAGCACCGGCUAACUCUGUGCCAGCAGCCGCGGUAAUACAGAGGGUGCAAGCGUUAAUCGGAAUUACUGGGCGUAAAGCGCGCGUAGGUGAUUUGUUAAGUUGGAUGUGAAAUCCCCGGGCUCAACCUGGGAACUGCAUUCAAAACUGACUGACUAAAAGUAUGGUAGAGGGUGGUGGAAUUUCCUGUGUAGCGGUGAAAAUGC